GUGGGGAAUAUUGGACAAUGGGCGAAAGCCUGAUCCAGCCAUGCCGCGUGUGUGAAGAAGGUCUUCGGAUUGUAAAGCACUUUAAGUUGGGAGGAAGGGCAGUAAGUUAAUACCUUGCUGUUUUGACGUUACCAACAGAAUAAGCACCGGCUAACUUCGUGCCAGCAGCCGCGGUAAUACGAAGGGUGCAAGCGUUAAUCGGAAUUACUGGGCGUAAAGCGCGCGUAGGUGGUUCAGCAAGUUGGAGGUGAAAUCCCCGGGCUCAACCUGGGAACUGCCUGCAAAACUACUGAGCUAGAGUACGGUAGAGGGUAGUGGAAUUUCCUGUGUAGCGGUGAAAUGCGUAGAUAUAGGAAGGAACACCAGUGGCGAAGGCGACUACCUGGACUGAUACUGACACAGAGGUGCGAAAGCGUGGGGAGCAAACAGGAUUAGAAACCCCGGUAGUCC
rnacentral:rRNA from 1 species